rnacentral:rRNA from 1 species
CCUACGGGGGGCUGCAGUGGGGAAUAUUGCACAAUGGGCGCAAGCCUGAUGCAGCCAUGCCGCGUGUGUGAAGAAGGCCUUCGGGUUGUAAAGCACUUUCAGCGGGGAGGAAGGCGGUGAGGUUAAUAACCUCAUCGAUUGACGUUACCCGCAGAAGAAGCACCGGCUAACUCCGUGCCAGCAGCCGCGGUAAUACGGAGGGUGCAAGCGUUAAUCGGAAUUACUGGGCGUAAAGCGCACGCAGGCGGUCUGUCAAGUCGGACGUGAAAUCCCCGGGCUCAACCUGGGAACUGCAUUCGAAACUGGCAGGCUAGAGUCUUGUAGAGGGGGGUAGAAUUCCAGGUGUAGCGGUGAAAUGCGUAGAGAUCUGGAGGAAUACCGGUGGCGAAGGCGGCCCCCUGGACAAGGACUGACGCUCAGGUGCGAAAGCGUGGGGAGCAAACAGGAUUAGAUACCCCUGUAGUC